UACGUAGGUGGCAAGCGUUAUCCGGAAUUAUUGGGCGUAAAGAGCGCGCAGGUGGUUAAUUAAGUCUGAUGUGAAAGCCCACGGCUUAACCGUGGAGGGUCAUUGGAAACUGGUUGACUUGAGUGCGGAAGAGGGAAGUGGAAUUCCAUGUGUAGCGGUGAAAUGCGUAGAGAUAUGGAGGAACACCAGUGGCGAAGGCGGCUUCCUGGUCUGCAACUGACACUGAGGCGCGAAAGCGUGGGGAGCAAACAGG
rnacentral:rRNA from 1 species